GACGAACGCUGGCGGCGUGCCUAAUACAUGCAAGUAGACCGCAGUUGCGAACGGGUGAGUAACGCGUAGGUAACUGCCUCAUAGCGGGGGACAACGAUUGGAAACGUUAGCUAAUACCGCAUACUGUGCGAUGGCCCUGCGUUGUAUUAUCUAGUUGGUGAGGUAAAGGCUCACCAAGGCGACGAUACAUAGCCGACCUGAGAGGGUGAGCGGCCACAAUGGGACUGAUACACGGCCCAGUCUCAUACGGGAGGCAGCAGUAGGGAAUCUUCGGCAAGGGGCGGAAGUCUGGCCGAGCAACGCCGCGUGAGUGAAGAAGGUUUUCGGAUCGUAAAGCUCUGUUGUUAUGGAAGCGGUAACUACCCAGAAAGGGACGGCUAACUACGUGACAGCAGCCGCGGUAAUAC
rnacentral:rRNA from 1 species